GAUGAACGCUGGCGGCGCGCCUAACACAUGCAAGUCGAACGGUUAAAGCACCUUCGGGUGUGUAUAAAGUGGCGAACGGCUGAGUAACACGUGGGCAACCUACCUCUUGCUCUGGGAUAGCCUCGGGAAACCGUGGGUAAUACCGGAUACUCCGUAACCUCCGCAUGAAGGAUACGGGAAAGCGCAUACGGCAAGAGAUGGGCCCGCGGCCUGUUAGCUUGUUGGUGGGGUAACGGCCUACCAAGGCUAUUAUGGGUAGCUGGGUUGAGAGACCGACCAGCCAGAUUGGGACUGAGACACGGCCCAGACUCC
rnacentral:rRNA from 1 species